rnacentral:rRNA from 1 species
AGCGCAGGCGGUUUCUUAAGUCUGAUGUGAAAGCCCCCGGCUCAACCGGGGAGGGUCAUUGGAAACUGGGAGACUUGAGUGCAGAAGAGGAGAGUGGAAUUCCAUGUGUAGCGGUGAAAUGCGUAGAUAUAUGGAGGAACACCAGUGGCGAAGGCGGCUCUCCGGUCUGUAACUGACGCUGAGGCUCGACAGCGUGGGGAGCGAACAGGAUUAGAUACCCUGGUAGUCCACGCCGUAAACGAUGAGUGCUAAGUGUUGGAGGGUUUCCGCCCUUCAGUGCUGCAGCAAACGCAUUAAGCACUCCGCCUGGGGAGUACGAGCGCAAGGUUGAAACUCAAAGGAAUUUGACGGGGGCCCGCACAAGCGGUGGAGCAUGUGGUUUAAUUCGAAGCAACGCGAAGAACCCUUACCAGGUCUUGACAUCCUUUGACCACUCUAGAGAUAGAGCUUCCCCUUCGGGGGCAAAGUGACAGGUGGUGCAUGGUUGUCGUCAGCUCGUGUCGUGAGAUGUUGGGUUAAGUCCCGCAACGAGCGCAACCCUUAUUGUUAGUUGCCAUCAUUUAGUUGGGCACUCUAGCGAGACUGCCGGUGACAAACCGGAGGAAGGUGGGGAUGACGUCAAAUCAUCAUGCCCCUUAUGACCUGGGCUACACACGUGCUACAAUGGGAAGUACAACGAGUUGCGAAGUCGCGAGGCUAAGCUAAUCUCUUAAAGCUUCUCUCAGUUCGGAUUGUAGGCUGCAACUCGCCUACAUGAAGCCGGA